ACCGACCUUCUUCAUUGCCCCCCCCAACAACUGUCGCUCACCGGUUCCGUUUUUUUAAUUAUAUAAAAAAAUCCGUCGUCGUUGAAGGAGAAGUCGGAUUGAUGAUUUGCUUCAGGCCUGGAGUUUUAAGAGCAAUAAGCGGAGACAACAAACCAGCAUGAUGUUGCAGAGGUCCAUCUGUGUGCAGUGGUGGUACUUUACCGCAGUUUGAAUCGCAACUUCACACAGAUUGUGGUUACAUAGCAAAUUUGAAGUUUUAUUUCCUCAGCUGUAAUAACCUAAAAGCUUGAAUUGCUUCAUAACGUCAGCCAUUCAGUAAGAGCUUCAACGUUGGCAAGCAUGUUCACUUCACAGGUCACUUUCAAAAUAAAGGGAGUUACACUUCCAGGUGAAGUGUUUGCGGUAUGUGGAAAUUCACCUGCACUUGGCAAUUGGUAUUCUCAAAAAGCUGUGCUUCUGGAACCCGAUAAAAAUGAUAG